GAGGGUAUAGCUCAAAUGGUAGAGUGCGUGCUCAGCAUGCAGGGGGUCCUGGGUUCAACCCCCAGUACUUCCU
rnacentral:tRNA from 1 species